UUGCCUUCUUUUUUUAAAACUAAAUUGAGGUUCUGUCUUUAGUAAAUUCUUACAUGUAGCUGGAAAUUUCCAUUGUAAAGUGUAUUUCUUUUGUUUUAAGCUCUUUCCAAGUGACUUUAUAACUUUUUUAACGUUUUGGCAACGGCGCUCUUCCUCUGUCCACAGAACUGGUAAAGACAGAAUUAUGAACUCUGCUGGCCUUGUCCCAGCCUACUUUUUGGAGCUUUUAUGAGAGAAGAAGUUUGGCAACUCAGCUCCCAGUGCCCACAGGAGUGCAAAUGAAGCUGGAGCUGAAGCCAUCUAUGAGAGCAGAUGGGCUGCCAGUCCAAUGACUAUAACUUGGAUAGCUCUACACAAGUUGAGAAACAGCUUUUAGCCAUGACAGGCAAGGCCCAGCAGGGCACAGAGCUGCAGUUUCAAGAAAGCCUGGCAACCAUUGUUCCAAACUGCCUCCUUGCAGCUUGGGACCAUUCUGCUUUGCUGCUGCAACAUCUGGACAGCAUUCGAGGUUGUUUCUCAAGGACACAAGCGUGCACCUCCGGUGAAUUUCAUCUUUCAACAUCUCUCUGGCUCUAAUCUAUAUUUAAUGUUUCAUGACUGGUAGUCAAAGAAGCUUCAGCUAAAUAUCAGGUUGGAAUGAAAAUGAUCCUUGGGAGAACAUUCGCUUCCAGCGUGCGCCAGCAAAGUGUCUGUGACAGAGGCUUUCCCCGGAGAUUUGUUGCCCAUUCUCUUGCAGUAAUAAUAAUUAUGCCUUAUGAUUGCUGUGCCCACAUAAUCAAAGAUCGCUUCAUCAAAUGUGAUCCCCAGGGGAAGCUGUCUCUACUCCUAACUGGAUGUCAGUCACAGAGAGCAGCACCCUUAGGGAUCCCCAAUCUCUUGCUUGCCUUUUUCAGUACUGUGUUGUUAGCAUUGUGUUUCUUCAUAUUCUUCUCAAUGCAAAUGAUGUGUAAAUCAUGCCCUCCAGAAGGCACAUGUGGUGAGGGGGAGAGGUUGGGGAGGGAGGUGGGGGGCUGGUGUAUUCUUCUCCUCCAGCCCCCUCCUCAACCUACCACAGGGAUUUCUCACAUGGAGCAUAAUUACAUCUGUGCCAUAUGGGCUCAUUUAUAUUCUAUUACAGGUUAAGCUAAUACGACUCAGAAAUAUGCUAAAAAUACCUCAAAGUAUUCUAGAGCUGUCAAAACACUUGUCAUUUCUUGCUUACCCGUUUGAUUGCUAGUGUUUUUAUUUUUGUUGAGAGAUUCGAAGAGCUAAGAAAGCACACUGGCAUGCUGGUGUCCAGUCUAUAAAUACAGUUUAAUUUCUUGUAUUACCAUAAUCCUUGGGCUUGCAAAAAAAAAAAAAAAAUCCUUCUUUAUAAUCCUGGAAUGGCCCUAAGACAUGGGCACUGAAACCCCUGUACUUGUAGAUUUUAAUUUCCCAAGAGGUAGAAAAUACAGACUUCAGAUAUGCGGUUUUGUCAGCUUUAGAAUAUUUCUUGUCUUUGUUUGAUGUAAUUAUUCAUUGUGAUAGAGAAACACCUGCAGCAGGCUGACAUGCCAUAGAAACAUGCUGCUUGAGUUAGUUAUAAGAGUUUGUUUGGAUGUCAGACAAAUCUGGUCAAGAUUUUACAUGUGGCAUGAUAAUGAGAAGUACAAUCUGUAAUGAGUAAGGAGUUCAACAAUGAUUUACAAGGGCAUGUUGGGUUAUUUUUACGCUGUGGUUAAAGUCCAUCUACAUACUAAUUUCUACCAUCAGUUUGGAAAAUUGGUAGGUCAUGCUUGUGUAGGCUUUUAACCUAAAGGCCUGUUUAUGUAAUUAAUUUUUUCAUUAUUAUUACCUUAACAUAUUACGGAAUUUUAAAAAAAUUUAGUCUUGGGAACAGAAUAGCAAGCACAGAUAUUUUAUUUUUCCAUGCUUGACGAGCAACAUUUCCAAGGUUUAUAAGGUGCUAAUCACAUCAGCCAUCCGUGAAACACACCAUUUAACUGAAAACUAAACUCACACAAGCCAUUCUUUUCUUAUUUGCUAAUAACUGUUCUAUGUGAUCUGGUUGACAGAGUGGUUAAGACUACCUGGUUUCCAAUAUCAAUUCUGCCACUUGCUAGCUUAUUAUCUCGGCAAAUGCCAUAAUUUUUUCAGUGCUCAGUUCCUCCAACUGUAAAACGAGCCUAAGAACCAUAGCUAUCCCAAAGGGAUUGAUGGAAGUAUAAAACAUGAUAAUAUAGCAAAUUAUUAGGCACAAUGUCUAACACUUAGUAAUCACUUCAUAAGAAUUAGUUAUUAUCACUGGUAUUGAUUUUGGUUUUACCAUAAACAGCUUUUUAAUAUAAUUAUGUGACUCUUUUAAUUAAAAAAAUACGUUUUACCAAAAUCAUGCUAGUUGCACAAACUGCCAUUUAUCUUAGAUCAUGUAGGCCAGAGGUUCUUGACAUUUUUGAAUCACACAACCAAGUUCUUACUUCAUUUAGAGUAGAUAUUUCGUGGCUGGCUUAGAAAGAAAUGGAAAAAUUCAGUGUUAAUGUA